UACAGAGGUCUCAAGCGUUGUUCGGAUUCAUUGGGCGUAAAGGGUGCGUAGGUGGCGCCGUAAGUCAGGUGUGAAAUUUCGGAGCUUAACUCCGAAACUGCAUUUGAUACUGCGGUGCUUGAGGACUGGAGAGGAGACUGGAAUUCACGGUGUAGCAGUGAAAUGCGUAGAUAUCGUGAGGAAGACCAGUGGCGAAGGCGGGUCUCUGGACAGUUCCUGACACUGAGGCACGAAGUCCAGGGGAGCAAACUGG
rnacentral:rRNA from 1 species